CAUUACUUUUCUAAACCCUGGCCUCUCCAUCCUUCUUCUCCUCUAGAUCAAUCAUCGCCUCCAUCACAACCGAAGAGAUUAAACGUCGAUCAACAACUCUAGAAAUGAAUACACAUAUUUGCUUUCGUUCGUGCAAAUCUUCUCCAUUGUUCAUCCCUACUUAUUAUUGUGUUGUUAUUGCAUCGAUUUGAAUUUGUUAAAUCCUUCAUUCAUUUCAUUCAACACCAUCACAAUAAAACCCUAAAUCGCAUCUAGCAUUGUUUUACUCGAUCUCUAUAUUAUCAAAAGAAAACCUUAAAUCGCUCAUUCUUCUCCGCCGAUUCUCUCAUCCACGUUAAUGGUUUCUUCUUGUGAUUAUUAUGAUGUUUGACAUUAAUGUUUUUUGUGUUUUUUUUUUCAGAUCCAUGUUAAGUAAUUAUGUAUCCGUUGAUAGAGAAUCAAUUUAUCUUGGUUAAAAAAAUUGGUGUUUAAUCGAGGUUAUCUGAUUAAAAGAUUUGAGGUGCAGCAGAAGAACUCAUCAAGGAAGCACUAGAUAGAUGGACGUGUUAUCGGUUUGUUCAAUGGGUGUUGAUGUAGCUAUUAAAUGACUACCGAAAUGACCUCAUCCACCUAUUUUGAAUUGUAUACAAUGGAGGGUGCACCUAUUUUGGAUGACAUAAAAGCUCGCAACGAUGUUGUUGUUCAACCACUGGAACCUCAGGGUUCUUAUACACCCAUAUCUAACACAAGAUCAUAGAUGAAAUC